rnacentral:rRNA from 1 species
GACGAACCGUGCAAACGUUGUUCGGAAUCACUGGGCUUAAAGGGCGCGUAGGCGGGCGGUCAAGUCUGCGGUGAAAUCUUUCGGCUCAACCGGAAAAGUGCCCCCGAUACUGGCCGGCUAGAGGGAGAUAGGGGCAUGUGGAACUUCCGGUGGAGCGGUGAAAUGCGUAGAUAUCGGAAGGAACGCCGGUGGCGAAAGCGACGUGCUGGAUCUCUUCUGACGCUGAGGCGCGAAAGCCAGGGGAGCAAACGGG